UGAUCUUUCGUACCCCACCUUCUGGCUAUUUCAUAGCCUACAUACUCGGUAUGUCAUACCCCAAGUUCGAGAGAUAUCUGAAUCCCUACCGAGCGCGCAUAAAGGAAGUCAUUGGUGUCACUAUCAGUCGGGGAUUACAAUUCGGCACGUUCCUUCAGCUACCUGAUUAGCGGAAUUUGGGGAAUCUGGAAAACAGUCAAAGGCGUAUGAAACAUGAAUUUAACUUCUCAUUCUGACAGUUCCACUCCAGGAAAAUAAGAAACUUUCAGAGGAAAACGAAACAUAUUAUUAGAGAAAAAUUAUAUCUACUGUUAGUAAUUUUGAUGAAUAUUUUAGUACCAGUUUUCUGAGGUGUUUGAAUAAAAUUAUAAAAUAAUAAUUGUUAAAAAAUUCAAAAAAGUAAGGACACUAAAAAUGGAAAAUCCUUCUUUCUUGGUACUUCCAUGACUGGCUUCUGGAAGAGUUGCUGAAUGGGGACUGAAUGGAAAUCCUGGAGCGGACAAUUACGUUUGGAUUUAUUUCUUGGAUCAGUUAUACUCGCCGCCCUCAAGCGACAUAAAAAACGUAGAAAAAAUAAUUGCUAAUAGCAAAUUAUUUAAUAAUUUUGAAAUUUUAAUUUGUAUGUCAUCGUACUAUUUGAAUUUUUUACUUAUCUCAAGCUUUGGCUGAGGUUUCUACCACAAUUUGGAGCGGAGAUAAGGUCCUCCUCUAUAAUUAACUCUGUCAGCUGCACAUAUUUCAAUUUUUUAAUUUUUCUGACAGCCAAAUUCACUAAAAAUGUCAAAGAAUUUGUAUGAUUUUUUUCACCUCGUUUCUACUGAUUUUUCUAUAAAAUAAAACAAGUCAAAGUCCACUGUUGUACAAUGGAUGCUGUUGACCUUGCUUUUGUGCACUUACCCAACUGUAACUUUAUUUAGAAUUAAUGUAUGACGGUGCCAUGAAUAGAAAAUUGGUUCUCAAUAAAAUCUUCAUGGAGAGUAGAUAUAAGGAGACCAAUCUGUAAUACAUGGACUUAACCAAAAACGGCCACUUUUCUAUUGCCAGAAGU